rnacentral:rRNA from 1 species
CAUGUCUUUUUGAUAAAAAUAUAAAGUCUAGUCUGCUCAAUGAAUAAAAAUUUAAAUAGCUGCAGUAUUUUGACUGUACAAAGGUAGCAUAAUAAAUAGUUUUUUAAUUGAAAGCUGGAAUGAAGGAUUGGACGAGAAAAUUACUGUCUCAAUUUUAAUAUUAUUGAAUUUAACUUUUUAGUUAAAAGGCUAAAAUUUUUUUAAAAGACGAGAAGACCCUAUAGAGUUUUAUAAUUAAUAUUUUUUAAUUUUGUUAGAAUAAUAAGGGUUUAAAUUAAUAUUGAUUAUUUGGUUGGGGUGAUUGGAAAACUUAAAAAACUUUUCUAUUUAAAAAUUAUUUAUAUAUAAAUUUAUUUUCUAUAAAUUUUUAAAUUUAAAAUAAAUUACCUUAGGGAUAACAGCGUAAUAUAUUUUUAAAGUUCUUAUUUAAAAAUUUGUUUGCGACCUCGAUGUUGGAUUAAAAUUAAUUAUUGGUGCAGAAGCUAAUAAAUUGAGUCUGUUCGACUUUUAAAAUUUUACAUGAUCUGAGU